rnacentral:rRNA from 1 species
UACAGAGGUCCCAAGCGUUGUUCGGAUUUAUUGGGCGUAAAGGGUGCGUAGGCGGUUGUCUAAGUCUGGUGUGAAAUCUCGGGGCUCAACCUCGAAACUGCACUGGAUACUGGGUAACUUGAGUACUGGAGGGGAGACUGGAAUUUACGGUGUAGCAGUGAAAUGCGUAGAUAUCGUAAGGAAGACCAGUGGCGAAGGCGAGUCUCUGGACAGUUACUGACGCUGAGGCACGAAGGCCAGGGGAGCAAACGGG